UACGUAGGGCGCGAGCGUUGUCCGGAUUUAUUGGGCAUAAAGAGCUCGUAGGCGGCUUGUCGCGUCGUUCGUGAAAACCUGCAGCUCAACUGCAGGCUUGCGGUCGAUACGGGCAGGCUAGAGUUCGGUAGGGGAGACUGGAAUUCCUGGUGUAGCGGUGAAAUACGUAGAGAUAGGGAGGAACAUCAAUAACGGCGAAGGCAGUUAACUAUUCUGUUACUGACAUUGAGGCACGAAAGCGUGGGGAGCAAAACGG
rnacentral:rRNA from 1 species